rnacentral:lncRNA from 10 species
CCCUUUCCUUCCUUUCCCCUUUCCCUUUUGUUUGAGACAGAGUCUCACUCUGUCACCCAGGCUGGAGUGCAGUGGUGUGAUCCUGGCUCAAGUGAUCCUCCCACCUCGGCCUCUCAAGUAGUUGUUACCACAGAUGUGCGCCACCAUGGCCAGCUAAUUUUUCAUAUGUUUUGUAGAGACGGGGUUUCACCAUGUUGCCCAGGCUUAUAUUUUUGUCUUGUAAUUUUUCACUCUUUUAUCAGCUCUUUGAUGUUUUUAAGACGUUUUAUGUAUUGGAGUAUAUUGUGAAGUUGAAAUAUUUAUUGUUAACCAAAUGAGAGCAUUGUUAUUAUCAUCAACAUCUCACCCAAACGGCUCAAUUUAAUAAUAAUAAUAUCAUCUACAUUGUGAACACUUCUUGCUUAUGUUUCCAAACCUACUCUAUGUAUGUGCCCAUGUAUAUGUAGAGAAACCCAACAAAAUAAUGCAAGGUAUAAAGUAAAUGCUAUAGGCUGCUACUGGAGUGCAAAGCAGGGAACAGUUUAUUCAGAGUGAGAAAAAGGUAAGGCUUGAUUAAGAAGAUAAGGGAGAUGGGGAGAUCCUUUUGUAGUUCGUAAGUGUGAUGAUUGGGUUUGCACACGCAUGUUUGAGAUGUGCCUCCCUCAAACCUGUAUUAGUCCAUUUUCACACAGCUAUAAAGAACUACCUGGAUAAUUUAUGAAGACAAGUGGUUUAAUUGACUCACAGUUCUGCAGGCUUAACAGGAGAAUGACUGGGAGGCCUCAGGAAGCUUACCAUCAUGGCAGAAGGGGAAGGGGAAGAAGCACCUUCUUCACGUGGUGGCAGGAGAGAGAGAGACAGGAAGCAAGGAGGGAAGUGCCACACACUUUUAAACCAUCAGAUCUCACAAGAACUCACUCAUUAUCACGAGAACAGAAUGGGGAAAUUGCCCCCAUAAUCCAAUCACCUCCCACCGGGUUCCUCCGCCAACACUGGGAAUUAUGAUUCAACAUGAGAUUUCGGUGGGGACACAGAGCCAAACCGCAUCAAACCUUGUUACAACGUGGGCACAUUACCCAUCUGACAUGAAUAAAUAAGUAAUAAAAAUUAAGAGGGGGAAAAGGGAAUUGAUGGAUGGAACACACACAAAAUGCCUGCACAGCAUUGAGGUUAAGAAUGACAGCCCACAGACUGCAUUUCCGGAGUUUGAAUGUUAGCUUGGGUGACUCUGGACAAAUUUAACUGCUAUAAGUUUCAGAUUCUUAUACAUAAAAUUGAAAUAAUAAUUGUAUCUUAUAUAAUCUCUUUGCAAUUUACUGAAGAAAUACUUCUCACCACAAAACCUAAGUAAGUGAAGUGAUGGAUAUAUUAAUUAGCCUGAUUAAUCAUUCCAUAUUUUGUAUGUAUAUCAAAACAUCCCACUGUACCCAAUAAGUGUAUACAAUUAUGAUUUGCCCUUCAAAAAUAAUUUAAACAGAAAUGCUUCUCUCUCGAGCUCACUAAAAUGUCCCCCCUUUUUUUUUUUUUUUGAGACGGAGUUUUGCUUUGUCAUCCAGGCUGGACUCCAGUGGCACCAUCAUUGCUCACUGCAACCUCUGCCUCCCAGGUUCAAGCGAUUCUCUUGCCUCAGCCUCCCAAGUAGCUAGGAUUACAGGUGUGUACCACCACACCUGGCUAAUUUUGUAUUUUUACUAGGGACGGGGUUUCGCCAUGUUGGCCAGGCUGGUCUCGAACACCUGACCGCAAGUGAUCUGCCCACCUCAGCUUUCCAAAGUGCUGGGAUUACAGGUGAGCCACUGUGCCCUGCCAAUUAUUUCUUUUCUUAAGUUAUUGUUUGUUUUUUGAUGAGGCAUAGAAGUGCAAUAAUUUAUGUAAAUCAAUUUUAUAUCUAGCCACUUGACUAAACUCUCUUAUUUUUAAUAAUUUAUCUAACACAUAUUUUGGGGUUAUUAUGUAGAUAAAAAUGUUAUCUACUUGACAGAGGAAACUGUUUUGUAAAAUUUUCUAAAAAUGUCAUCUACAAAUAAUAAUGUUUUGGUUUUGGUUGUUUUUUGUUUUUGUUUUUGUUUUUGUUUUUUGAGACAGAGUCUUGCUUCGUUGCCCAGGCUGGAGUGCAGUGAUGCAAUCUCGGCUCCCUACAACCUAAGCCUCAAGUGAUCCUUCCAUCUCAGCCUCCUGAGUAGCUGGGACUACAGGUGGGCACCUCCACACCCUCCUAAUUUUUGUAUUUUUUGUAGAGACGGGGUUUCACCACAUUGUCCAGGCUGGUCUCUAACUCCUAAACUCAAAGGAUCCGCCCACCUUGGCAUCCCAGUGUUGGGAUUACAGGUGUGAGGCACUGCAUUUGGCAAUAAUGGUUUUGUUUCUUCCAUUCUAAGCCUUACACCUUCACCUUUUCUUGUCUUACAUGGUUAGCUAGAAAUUCAGUACAAGGUUGAACAGAAGUGUUAAUAGUAGGCAUCCAUUCUGGUUGUCCAUUUGAAAUUUUCAUCAACUCUGAGAGUGUUGUAGGUUUUUGUUAGAUACCCUUUAUCAGUUUAAAAAG